CCUACGGGUGGCAGCAGUGAGGAAUAUUGGUCAAUGGACGCGAGUCUGAACCAGCCAAGUCGCGUGCAGGAUGACUGCCCUAUGAGUUGUAAACUUCUUUUAUAAAGGAAUAAAGUCAGACACGUGUGUCUUUUUGUAUGUACUUUAUGAAUAAGGAUCGGCUAACUCCGUGCCAGCAGCCGCGGUAAUACGGAGGAUCCGAGCGUUAUCCGGAUUUAUUGGGUUUAAAGGGAGCGUAGGUGGUUUGUUAAGUCAGUUGUGAAAGUUUGCGGCUCAACCGUAAAAUUGCAAUUGAUACUGGUAGGCUUGAGUACAGUUGAGGUAGGCGGAAUUCGUGGUGUAGCGGUGAAAUGCUUAGAGAUCACGAAGAACUCCGAUUGCGAAGGCAGCCUACUAAACUGCUACUGACGUUGAUGCUCGAAAGCGUGGGUAUCAAACAGGAUUAGAUACCCUGGUAGUC
rnacentral:rRNA from 1 species